UCUAGGUGACUAGCAAAUGACCCAAUAAGUUUAUAUCAUUUUUUGCACAUGAUCUUCCACCUGUUACCAAACAUAAAAUGUGCAGAUUUUGCCUGUUCAUUUUAGAAUAAAACAAAAAUAUGCCGCACCAUUGAUCAUUAAGCUGUAAGUUUCACGAUCCUUUAAAACGGGGGAAAUUGAGCAAAAAUACUACUUUUGGCAAAAUUUCUCGAUUGAGUUUAUAUGACGUCACUGGGCCCCCUGAACAUUUUCUAAACUUUGAGCCUUAUCCAUAAACGCUUUUUGGCGUUCUAAGGCUUCUCUCCCUUCCUUAAAAAUAAAAAAACGGAGACUUGGGAAUAAAAAUUGCCCAAGAUGGCGAAACGGUUGUUGUUUAGAGGGCAGGGGAAAAAAUGGAGGAUAUUGUAAUAUACACAAAGGGAUAAAUUUCAACAACUCGGCCAAGGACUGCAGCUGCUUCUCUCUUUUUAAGGAAGCAAAACACAAAAGAUAAAUACAGAGGGAGAGAGAAAAGAGAAAAUCUCCCAAACAGCAGGGCCAGCUCCUACUCUCCAAACACUUCCUUUUCGAAAUGCCAAUUCUGGGGUUCUUGGAAUUACUUUAAGGGGAGGGGAGCCGAGAAAGCGGGGCGGGGGGACACGAUUAAAAGAGGGAAGCAGAAGAGUUGAGAGCUGGCGGCCGUUCCUGGGGGAAAAACUACUAGAUGAGACAUUACUGUAGGAAAAGCAAAGCUUCUCACACCUCCUGCGUCCAGACAGACCUUCCCAGGACCGCACCUCUCCGCGUCCUCCUCCCCCAAACUCCACUCGGGACCCCAAGAGCCACCCCUGCCUUCCAGCCAGCACAACAAAGAGACACACCGACCGGCGAGGGUAAACAGCGGCGCCUGGGCGAGCAGGGCGGCAGGGCGAGCGCCUCCGAGAGCAACUCCGGAGUCCUCCCUGCUCGCGGGAGCGUAGUUUCUCCUUUUCUUUCUACCAGCUUCAUAACAUUUGGAAUUUUUCAUCUUCACCCGCUCCCGUCACACCCGAGGAUUUUUAACUCACCUUUACUUUCGAAGUGAGAGUUGCAGUAGAUGGGAUUUUUGCCUCACCCAGAUGGUUGAAGGUUAAGAUUUUUGAACUCCCUACCACCCACCUCCUUAUUUCUCUUAUAAUUUCUGCAAGAAAAGUAUAAAGAGAGUUGGAGUGGAGGUGAAAUUUGUGAUCGGGAAAGACCUCGACUCCCUCCUUCUCCGUCUUCCGCCUCUCUCUCUCUGAUUAGUUCCUAUCCAGCAGCAGAUUGAAGCAGGAGAUGAUUCUUCUCAAGGUUUGUUCAGCAGCUUCACUUCUAGGCGAAGGCUUCAUGAACCAAGUGACGUCAACCAACAAGGCUUCUCUCUCUCUCCUCUCUCUAACAAUGAAAGUUGCUGUUAACAAGGGAAAAGGAGAGAGAAUUGUUUAUACCAUUUCAGUUCCAAUAAUAAAUGACCUAUCAGCUCCUAAAGAAGCCAAGGGAGGGGGUUGCUUCUUCCCUCCAAGAACACUGUAGCUGAGUUUGCACCGAUCCUUGUCCCAGGAAAAAGUUAAGAAACUUAAAUGUUUUGUUUUGCUUUUAGAAGAGGACAGAAAACAGGGUUGAAAACUUAAUUGUUAAAAAAUGUAAACUAAUAGUCACUAUUGGUUAACCAUUUUCACUUAAACUUUUUAUGUUUGCAAACUCAAUUCUGUUGAAGUCUACAAACCAACUAAAUUAAUAUGCCAAGAAUUUGUGAAUGUUAGGACUAAAGAGCAGGUCGCAAGAUGGUCCCAGGGUAAAAUGCUAUUGCCUUCCCAUGGACAAGUUACACUGGCUGUAAUGUUUAUGCACUGAGCUAAAAUAAAAUCUAAAAAAGGACGUUAAAAUAGCAAAUCGGUUUAAAGUUAAAUUUACAAACUAAGCAGUAAUGUCGAUCGUUUUGUUUUCCAGAUUCUGAGAGGUUAAGAAACGGAUAGAUAAUUGUAGGAACUGAACAGUUUUUUUAAAUCAAUUUGAAUAAAACCGGUAGCGCACUAAUUCCAUCUUUAAACUAUACACGCGGUAUGUAUUUGACCCCCAGCGUCUCUUCCAACUUUUUUUUAACGUUCCACCCCUCUAAUUCCCAUAUCUUGCAACCAAUCAAGUUAAACGAAGGUAAAAUGUACCCUAUUCCUUUCCACAUACCACUCCAGUUUUCUAAAACUACUUUUAAAAAAACUAUUAUCCAUGAAGACAUGUUAACUUUUAAAUUUUUUCAGUGAACUAGUUCUUUCCUUAAGAACAUGUUAAAGUCUCAAAGUUCAUAUAAAUUACAUAAUGCAUAAUUUAAUUUUCAGGAUGAAGAGCAAGUGAAAAUUAAGCUAUGGGAGAACAACUUAACCAUACAUGUUAUAUUUAUACAUACAUAUGUGGGUAAAUGUAUCUUAAAAGAUGCUAUUGUUUUAUGUUUCCUCCUCAACCACUGGCUGUGAUUUUAAUUGUGCUGGAGGAUCUUCAUUAGUAUUAACACAUGGGGAGAUUUCACAAAGCUGCUUCAUUAGGAAAAAAAAAGCUGGCAGACUAGGUCUUUUUGCAUGCACUGAGAAUGUCAGCCUUACCUCGGUCAUUUGUAACAUAAUAAGUGCAAGUACAAUGAUUGCAAUGCAGGAGCACUGGGGGAAGGGCAGAAAUACUGCCUGUCUAGCAGGAAUAACUGAAAAGAAGGCUGCUCAUUACACAGUAAAAUGUAUGCUAAAAAUUAGUGAAGAUGAUGUCUCAGGAGACUGAUGCUAAAUAAAUUAAUGUGCUGAUAUGUUUUUAAUUAUUAUUUUUGUAGUAGUUUAUUUCAUUCUCAGGAUUCACAUUGAGCAGCAAAGCUUAUUGAUUUUUUUCCCUGCCACAUUCCCGGAAUACAGAUUUUAAUCAUUUCACUACACCACACUCAGUAAUUUCAUUAAAAACUGGAAUCUUCUAUCCCCAGAAAAGCAUUUAAUUUCAAUGACAUACAAUUUCUCUUUUAGCAGCAAACUGUCUCUACAGUAAAAGCUGGCCUAAGGUUCAAAUGCAUAAUUUAAUCCUGAGUUUUCCAUGCUCUGCAUUCCUUUCAGGCUAUAAUUUGAGUAACUACCUAAUAACUGUAAUAAGGAUAAUAAUUUCCUUAUAAUAUAUUAUUAACUUAUAUUUAAUUAACUCAGAGGCCAAGCUCCAUACGUGUAUGACUGGGUCAACAGUUCUACAAUCUCAAAAUUUACUAAUAAUGUUCCAGAAGAAAAAUGUAAGUAUGAAUGCUACCACUUAGACUUUAAUCCCAAGUCAUAACACAAAAAAGUUCUAUUAUUUUACAAUUGUCAUUACUCAAGUAAGAUUUUUAAGUAUUUGGAAGUAAUGUAAUUCAGUAAUCUUUCUGUACAUAAAAUAUUAGGAUACUGAUAUUUUAACAUUACUGACACUCCCUAAUCAUUUGCAUUGUUAUUGGUACUUAAUUUUGAAAGAAUAAAAGGUUUGGUUUCAAAGUG